GUGCGUGAAUCGCGACCACUUGCGACGUACGUUCACGGUAUAUAUAAUCGGUUUGUUUAAAAAUUUUAAGAAAUUCGUGUAAAUUGUUUCUUCUUCUCUCUUCUCGUCCGCAAUUUUUUAAUUUUUCAUCAAACUGAUUGUGAAUUAGAUGUGACGAAUACGCAAGAAAUUAAAGAAAUGAAUCAAGAUUAAACAUUCUUAAAUACAAAAAAAUAAUUAUGAAAAAUAAAAAAAAACUGUCGCGUAUAAAAAUUUUUUAAUUUCUUCACGAAACCGUUCAUCAAGCGUCAUGCAUAUAAGAAGGACUUUGAGCAGUCUCAUAGCAGCUCUGCAUCUACAACGCAGAAUUUGUCGGUGCAUCCACAUGAGUGUCUAAUCCAUGAUAUUUGUGAACCUAAUGAAAUAGAUACAUUAUUUAUCAUGUAACCUAAGAUCAUGUACUUUCUAGAAUAAAAAAAAAGAAA
rnacentral:misc_RNA from 1 species